rnacentral:misc_RNA from 1 species
ACAAACUUGGUCAUUUAGAGGAAGUAAAAGUCGUAACAAGGUUUCCGUAGGUGAACCUGCGGAAGGAUCAUUAAAAAAUAUAUAUGUUAAAUAUAUAUACUUUGUGUGCAACUAUUGAAAGAAAAAAAAUAAUGAUAAAGAAUUCCUCUCUCUCUUUUUUUUGAAAGAGAGGAGGGAGGGAGGAAGGAUUUUAUUAUUUAUUUUUUUAAAUUUACUAUUUUUCAAUUUUUAUAAAUUGUGAAUAAUAAAAUUAAAAAAAACUUUCAACAACGGAUCUCUUGGCUCUCGCAUCGAUGAAGAACGCAGC